ACAUUUUCUUGCAUAAGAGAAAAUUGAAAGAUGGUUUCGGCUAUCACUUACAGAUGGGCCCGCGGUGCAUUAGCUAGUUGGUGAGGUAACGGCUCACCAAGGCAACGAUGCAUAGCCGACCUGAGAGGGUGAUCGGCCACACUGGGACUGAGACACGGCCCAGACUCCUACGGGAGGCAGCAGUAGGGAAUCUUCCGCAAUGGACGAAAGUCUGACGGAGCAACGCCGCGUGAGUGAUGAAGGCUUUCGGGUCGUAAAACUCUGUUGUUAGGGAAGAACAAGUACAAGAGUAACUGCUUGUACCUUGACGGUACCUAACCAGAAAGCCACGGCUAACUACGUGCCAGCAGCCGCGGUAAUACGUAGGUGGCAAGCGUUAUCCGGAAUUAUUGGGCGUAAAGCGCGCGCAGGCGGUUUCUUAAGUCUGAUGUGAAAGCCCACGGCUCAACCGUGGAGGGUCAUUGGAAACUGGGGAACUUGAGUGCAGAAGAGAAAAGCGGAAUUCCACGUGUAGCGGUGAAAUGCGUAGAGAUGUGGAGGAACACCAGUGGCGAAGGCGGCUUUUU
rnacentral:rRNA from 1 species